rnacentral:rRNA from 1 species
GGGUGCCCAGGCGCGAAAACUUUACAAUGCCGGCAACGGCGAUAAGGGAACCUCGAGUGCCAGGUUACAAAUCUGGCUGUCGUGAUGCCUAAAAAGCAUUGCAUAGCAAGGGCCGGGAAAGACCGGUGCCAGCCGCCGCGGUAACACCGGCGGCUCGAGUGGCAACCGUUAUUAUUGUGUCUAAAGGGUCUGUAGCCGGCCGGGUAACUCUCUUGGGAAAUCUGGCAACUUAACUGUCAGGCUUUCAGGACAUACUGACUGGCUCGAGGCCGGAAGAGGUGAGAGGUACUUCAGGGGUAGGGGUGAAAUCUUGUAAUCCUUGAAGGACCACCAGUGGAGAAGGCUUCUCACCAGAACGGACCUGACGGCAAAGGACGAAAGCUAGGGGCACGAACCGGAUUACAUACCCGGGUAGUCCUAGCCGUAAACGAUACUCGCUAGGUGUCGGCCACGGAGCGACCGAGGUCGGUGCCAUAAGGAAGCCGUGAAGCGAGCCACCUGGGAAGUACGGCCGCAAGGCUGAAACUUAAAGGAAUUGGCGGGGGAGCAC